ensembl:rRNA 5S_rRNA 5S ribosomal RNA
GCUUACGGCCAUACCACCUUAGAGCACGCCCGAUCUCGUCUGAUCUCGGAAGCUAAGCAGGGUCGGGCCUGGUUGAGUACUUGGAUGGGUGACCGCCUGGGAAUACCAGGUGCUGUAAGCA